GAAAAUGGAGACACCGCGGUUUUAGUUGGGGCCAACAAAAUCCACUAUCAAAGCAACAUUAUAGUUGGGGGAGGGAAUAAGUGCUGCCACAAAAUCUCUUAUAGCUGAGAGAAGAAAUGGACUGCUGCUAUAGUAGGUAUUAUAGCUGGGAGAAGGAAUGGACCGCUACCAUAUAUGGCCCAAUAGAGCCCGCACCCAUAUACCCACCAUAUCAACCACUGCCUCUUUCGACUGGUAAGAACCUACUGAGAGCCAUUUCGAUCCUCACUUUGGACCACCGAGAACCCACUAGUGAGAAUCUUUGAACAACAUUUUUCUUUGAUUCACUCUUCUAAGCCCUCAAUGUUGAUAAUCGUUGCUGGUAAUGGUCGUUGAACUCUGCUCCCAAAGCCAUAAAACCCUAGGAAUUGAGUCUCCAACUAGAUUGCUGGUGAUCAACGACCAGCUCGCUCACCGAACUCUUUGCCACACUCAGAUCAGAAUUGCAUGUCGGAGAUCAGAGUUAUUUCUGGGGCCUUGAUUGCUGCUCAGAUUACGUUCACCUUCAAUAGAUGAUACUGGAAGAUUGAUAUUGUAAUUACUUGAGUUCUACUGUAAGCCAGUCGCUGAUUCAUUUCUUGUGUUGGACUGGUGAUUGGGAUUUUGAGAGUAGCAGUGAAAGAUGAAGUUGAGUCCAAGAGAGAAGUGGACAGACUGCUUCUUCACAAUUGCAUUUCUUUGCUUGAUGCAAUUAAGAAUGUAGAACUUUGUGACAGAAUGAUCAGGAAUGCAGAAGUUUGCGGCAAAACGAUCAAGAAUGCCUAUUUCUUGAAAUGAUCAGAAGGUCAAAGAUGGGGACCCUGUUUUGAUGGACAUUGGAUGUGAGUUACAUGGAUAUCUUAGUGAUCUUACUUGUACACGGCUGCCCAGUGGCUUCUCUUUUGCAGCCUAGGCUUAAGUAAAAAUACUUUGUAAAUGUUGUUACAAGGCCUUUUGGCAAGGUUUAGAUGCAAAAGCCUUUUGAAGAAGCAACAAGGAAUGAGGACUGGUUGAUCAUCGUGGGAGAAGCUUUUGAUUAGACUAAAACAAGGAAUCUUAGAAAUAGUUGUUGUUCUUCCGAUGUGGGCAACAAUAUGACCAUCUUAUUACAGUGUACAUGAUCAUUGAUGUGUGUGGAGUGCUGAUACCCAAUUCUGAACUGUUUUGUUCCUUGGGAACAUCUAAAAAUUUCUCUAUUACUACA